UACAUGCAAGUCGAACGAGAAAGUAUCUUCGGAUACGAGUACAGUGGCGGACGGGUGAGUAAUACAUAGGAAUCUACCCAAUGGAGGGGGAUAGCUCGAGGAAACUCGAAUUAAUACCGCAUAAUCUCCACGGAGUAAAGAGGGCUUCGGCUCUCGCCAUCGGAUGAGCCUAUGCAGGAUUAGCUUGUUGGUGAGGUAAAGGCUUACCAAGGCGACGAUCCUUAGCUGGUUUGAGAGGAUGACCAGCCACAUCGGGACUGAGACACGGCCCGGACUUCUACGGAAGGCAGCAGUAGGGAAUAUUGGACAAUGAGCGAAAGCUUGAUCCAGCCAUGCCGCGUGUGCGAUGACGGCCCUCGGGUUGUAAAGCACUUUAGGUAACGAGGAAAAGUUAGGUGUUAAUACCAUCUAACCUUGACGUUAAUUACAGAAUAAGCACCGGCUAAAUCCGUGCCAGCAGCCGCGGUAAUACGGAUGGUGCAAGCGUUAAUCGGAAUUACUGGGCGUAAAGCGCGCGUAGGUGGCAUAUUAAGUUAGAUGUGAAAUCCCGAGGCUUAACCUCGGAACUGCAUCUAAAACUAAUAAGCUAGAGUACUAGAGAGGAAAGUAGAAUUCU
rnacentral:rRNA from 1 species